rnacentral:rRNA from 1 species
AUAUGUCUACAACAUAGCGUUAAUGCACAAGAUCCCAUUAGAACUCUGCAGUUAAGCACACUUGGGCUAGAGUAGUACAGGGAUGGGUGACCACCCGAAAAGUCCUAGUGUUUUACAUGCC